UGACCAGGACACGUGAUCGCCGGCGCAUGCGCGCGGGAGGAAAGUCCGGGCUCCAUAGGACGUGGUGCUGGUUAAUGGCCAGUCGAGGUGACUCGAAGGAAAGUGCCACAGAAAGCAAACCGCCGCGUUUUACGCGGCAAGGGUGAAAGGGUGCGGUAAGAGCGCACCGGGGGCAUGGUGACAUGCCUUGCAUGGUAAACCCCACCUGGAGCAAGACCAAAGGAGGGCGCUUUGCAUGACAAAGCCCGAGUGUCCGCUCGGCCGCUCUCGGUCAGGUCGCUAAAGCGUCAUGGCAACAUGGCGACUAGAUGAAUGAUCACGCCCUGUAUGUGGGUGACCCGUACAGGAGACAGAACCCGGCUUACGGCCUGGUCGGAGA
rnacentral:RNase_P_RNA from 1 species